GAUGAAGAACGCAGCGAAAUGCGAUAACUAAUGUGAAUUGCAGAAUUCAGUGAAUCAUCGAGUCUUUGAACGCACAUUGCGCCCCCUGGUAUUCCGGGGGGCAUGCCUGUUCGAGCGUCAUUACAACCCUCAGGCCCCCGGGCCUGGCGUUGGGGAUCGGCGGAAGCCCCCUGCGGGCACAACGCCGUCCCCCAAAUACAGUGGCGGUCCCGCCGCAGCUUCCAUUGCGUAGUAGCUAACACCUCGCAACUGGAGAGCGGCGCGGCCACGCCGUAAAACACCCAACUUCUGAAUGUUGACCUCGAAUCAGGUAGGAAUACCCGCUGAACUUAAGCAUAUCAAUAAGCGGAGGA
rnacentral:misc_RNA from 1 species